ACUUCAUCAAAAACACAUUCCACUUUCAAAUCCUUUAGAGGAGAAAACAGGGAAGUUGCCAGGGAGAACUAGAAACCUUUUACCUCCAAGGAAGAACAAAACUUUUCUGUCCUCUGCCAGCUCCAUCAUUCCCCAUUCCACUUCAUACUGUGAUUAUGGCUAUUGAGGCAACACCAUACACUCUGCACUGCAGCAUUUUACAGUUGCAUCUGCUAGUCACCAGUUCUGUCACUGUGCCAAGCUGUGCAGAAGGCAGUCUUCUUACUUUCUGGGUUGGAGGUGAUAAAUGAACAUGGCCACACUAUCUUCAGAACAUCAUCUUCAGAAUCACGAGCAUUUUCUCAUCUUACUGAAACAGAAAUAUUGUUAUCCCUAAAAUCAUCAACUGCAGACUUAUGUAACAAUAGAAGCUGUUUUCCAGGAACAAUAUUAAUUGCAGUCUAUUAUAAACCAUGGAAAACAUUUUUCAGUGUUAUGAGUCAUGCUUUUUCUCAUCAGGCUAAGUGCUGUGAACUGUAUUUCCUGAAAACAAUACCUUUACUCAGUGCAGGGGCUGUGUUAUCAUUGACACCUGAUGGCUUUCCAGUGUUUUAUUCUGAAAUAGAAUGGGCACUUGUGGAAGGACUGGAAUGGUAUCACCUUUAUUUGGACUUCUGCAGUGGACUUCUGAUGCUGCCAUAGCAACAGAUCCCUGAGUCAUUUGAAUUUGAAGCCACUGCAUCCAAUAUUCCCUGUUGUGAUGGGAAACAGCUGUAUUGAUGGCCUGCGUUCACCAUAAUCUUUGCUACUCCAGUUGCCUGCAGCGCAGUCUACAUUUCUGUCAUCAGGGCUGUAUUUCCCUAGGAUUUUGCGUGGAGGCUUGUGUUUCUCUAGUUCUUCCUCUCUUCUGACCCAAAACUUUGUCAAUGCCAGCUUCUUGGAAGCUAGAGCUUCAUGUGCAUCUGUAUUUACAUAGCCAGACACCAAAACUGUCCUUGAAGUCUGAUAUUUCAAUAGUGGUGUCUUGAUGUUGCUAUUAUUUGUUUGCAAAGUAUUAUCAAUGGAUAUAUAAAUAUACAUCAAAACACAGAAAUAAUUAUAUGUAUAUAUAGCACCCCCAAUCACAAACAAGGGACAGUAAAAUAUGCCUUUUACCAGACACACAGUGAUAUUCUUCCUGGGCUUAGCGGAGGUCUGGUGUAAGAGAUUAAAACAUCAUAAC
rnacentral:lncRNA from 1 species